AUUUGAGAUAACUUCUGCCAGCUCUGCCGUAGUGGUCAGAGGCACUCUAAGGACUGCAAGCAUAAUGUAUGAAGGCUGCCAAACUCAGAAAUGAAAUGAUUCCACCUCAGCAAUAGAUUUGGAAAGAUGAUGAAAGAAGAGAAAUGGCUUUGUGUAUUAUCUGUAUGGAAUUUGUUGUGUAUACAACCAGCUGUGGAUUGAUGUGUGAAGGGUUGAUGUGUGUUUGGAAGUUGGCAGAAGGCAAGUUAGAAGCUGAAGUGGAGGACCAAAGAAAAGGUGGCUUUAUGGCCUGCAACAGAAAAGGAUCUAGAUGGAGACCUCCUAGGACCUGCAGGGCUGCUGAACUGUUUGUUGAACUGAGCUGGCACAGCCUGAAAAAUAUUUAGUACUCAGUUGCAUCAGAAAAACAGAGUUUAUAAGGGAUGUGAAUGCCACAAAAACAGAUUAAUCAAAUACACACUUGUCUGUGUUUAUCCCAGAUAACUCUCUUAUAUUUUAAACUUUAUGGUUAUUGUUUAAAAAGAGAAGAGAAGAAAAGAAUUGCAAUUGACCACUGUAUGUAGCUAUCUUACUCAAUAGGAGAGAGAAAUAUAAUUGAUCUUGCUUGAAUAGCUGAAUUUUGAUAUGCGACCCAAGAAGUUUUCAGUGAGAGUUGUAUUUCCCCUAUUUGCCUAUUCUGUCUUACAAUUUUGAAAAUGUAGGCCCUUACUUAACAUGAAGCUCCUUAGCAUAGUUAUUUCUACACCAUAAAUGUUUUAUUUUGCAUGUCUUAUUUGUAAUGACACACACCCAAAACAGAGUUAGUGUGGUGUUGUACACAUGUAAAAAUAUAUAUGCACAGCUUAAAAUUGAAUUUUGAUGCUGACUUUGUUUACUGUUUUUAAAUUUUAAAUGUAAGAUUUCAUUCAAUCCAUAC